GGGCUUGGUUUCCUGGGAGGUAGGCUCAGCCUAUUCUACCUCUCCUCAGCCAAGCCUAGAAUAGAGGGUCCAGGCUUCCUUCUUUAUGGAAGAGGCAUUGGAGGAAGGAGCCUCAUCUGGGCUGGCCUGGCCUUACAUUU
ensembl:scaRNA